rnacentral:rRNA from 1 species
GGUUCGAUCUUGGCUCAGAUUGAACGCUGGCGGGAUGCUUGACAUGCAAGUUGAAUGGCAGCGACGACUGGUCUGGUGGAGGAAAAGGAACGGGUGAGUAAUGUAUCGGAACGCCUAGUAGCGGGGGGAUAACUACGCGAAAGCGUAGCUAAUACUGCAUACGCCCUCGGGGGAAAGCGGGGGACCCUUCGGGCCUCGCACUCCAGGAGCAGGCUGGAUAUCGAUUAGCUAGUUGCGGGGUAACGGUCACCAAGGUGGAUGAUCCGUAUGGUUUUGAGAGAGGACGACCAGCCACACUGGGGACUGGAGACACGGCCCAGACUCCUACGGGAGGCAGCAGUGGGGGAAUUUUUGGGACAAUGGGAAACCCUGAUCCAGCCAUCCCGCGUGUGCGAUGCCGAAGGCCUACAAAGCACCUUUUGGUAGAUAAACGGCACGGAUACCCGUGCAACGACGGCAGGUACCUGUAGAAUAGCACCGGCUAACCUGUGCCAGCAGCCGCGGUAAUACGUAGUGCAAGUGUUAAUCGGAAUUACUGGGCGUAAAGCGUACGCAGGCGGGUUCGGAAAGAAAGAUGUGAAAUCCCAGAGCUUAACUUGGAACUGCAUUUUUAACUACCGAGCUAGAGUGUGUCAGAGGGAGGUGGAAUUCCAUGUAAAGCAGUGAAAUGCGUAGAUAUGCGGAGGAACACCGAUGGCGAAGGCAGCCUCCUGGAGCAACACUGACGCUCAUGCACGAAAGCGUGGGGAGCAAAUUGCGGAUUAGAUACCCCGUAGUCCACGCCCUAAACGAUGUCAAUUCAGCUGUUGGGGCCUUCGGGCCUCGGUAGGCGCCAACGCGUGAAGUUGACCGGGGGAGAUACGGUCGCAAGAUUAAAACUCAAAGGAAUUGACGGGGACCCGCACAAGCGGUGGAUGAUGCGGAUUAACUGACGUAACGCGAAAAACCUUACCUACCUUGAUAUGUCUGGAAUCCCGAAGAGAUUUGGGAGUGCUCGCAAGAGAACCGGAACACAGGUGCUGUGAUGGCUGUCGUCACCGUGUCGUGAGAUGCUGGGUUAAGUCCCGGCAACGAGCGCAACCCCUUGUCAUUAGUUGCUACGAAGGCACUCGACGACUGCUGGUGACAAACCGGAGGUAGCGUGGGAUGACGUCAUCCUCGCGGCCUUCUUAUGCGGGCUUCGUUACCGUCAUACAAUGGUCGGGACAGAGGGUCGCCAACCCGGCGAGGGGGAGCCAACCAGAAACCCGAUCGUAGUCCGGAUCGCAGUCUGCAACCGACUGCCGUGAAGUCGGAAUCGCUAGUAAUCGCGGAUCAGCAUGUCGCGGUGAAUACGUUCCUGGCCUCGUACACACCGCCCGUCACACCAUGGGAGUGGGUUUUACCAGAAGUAGUUAGCCAACCGUAAGGAGGGCGAUUACCACGGUAGGAUUCAUGAUCAGUAGUCGUAACAAGGUAG